rnacentral:rRNA from 1 species
GAUGAACGCUGGCGGCGUGCUUAACACAUGCAAGUCGAACGAAGCACUUUAUUUGAUUUCCUUCGGGACUGAUUAUUUUGUGACUGAGUGGCGGACGGGUGAGUAACGCGUGGGUAACCUGCCUUGUACAGGGGGAUAACAGUUGGAAACGGCUGCUAAUACCGCAUAAGCGCACGGCAUCGCAUGAUGCAGUGUGAAAAACUCCGGUGGUAUAAGAUGGACCCGCGUUGGAUUAGCUAGUUGGUGAGGUAACGGCCCACCAAGGCGACGAUCCAUAGCCGAACUGAGAGGGUGACCGGCCACAUUGGGACUGAGACACGGCCCAAACUCCUACGGGAGGCAGCAGUGGGGAAUAUUGCACAAUGGGCGAAAGCCUGAUGCAGCGACGCCGCGUGAGCGAAGAAGUAUUUCGGUAUGUAAAGCUCUAUCAGCAGGGAAGAUAAUGACGGUACCUGACGAAGAAGCACCGGCUAAAUACGUG